rnacentral:misc_RNA from 1 species
AGAGUGCUGGGAACUGAACGUUCGUGGGCACGCAGCUGUAAGGUGCAAGAUCUACGCUACGAGUGUAACGCAUGUUUGCUAAAUCCAGUUUGUACAUGCCUCUCUGAUUCGUGUGCGUAACGUACCCGUACUUUACCUGGUGCCCCGGUAUAUAAAGACCUUUGACAAGGUCGAACUGCCCAUCAAUUGGCUCGGGAUGAACUGUACGGUGUUUUCUUUUCUGCGCCGCAUCGCGGAUUACCUGUACAGUUUUUAUCCCCGCAUCCCGCACGCUGCGCCAGUUCAGAACCCAGACCUGGUCCAGGGAUGACACGUAAUACAAUUCGACGGGGUAUUUAUCCGUAGCUACGAC